ensembl:lncRNA
GGAAAGUUUGCGGGACCAGGAAGUGAGUGAGUGGUCAGUGUUUGUGUUGUGCGGAAAGCAAUGGAUUAGCUGCGGGCAAUGAAUUAUGGAGCGGAAUCGGCUGGUACCUAACCGACCGCUAUGAUGGUGACCUCAAAAGGGUGACCAUCACUUCUCCCUGCGGGACCUGUCAAUUUCUUCAAGGGCUCAUAAUUGCUUUCCUCCAUGUAGUAUUAUCGGCUCAUGGUGUGUUAUCCAUGCUUGAUGCCGUAUCGAUUGUUGUAUGCCUGUUGUGUGUGUUGGUGAGGAGCGGAAUGGAAAAACUCCUCCAGGUGGGGUGAUCCCUGUGGCCAGGCCAGAGAGAGUGCACGGGCUGGCGGGCGCGAGGGUGCGAGAGGCAGCUUCCAGGGACCAGGUGGUGUUCAGCAGGGGGGGGGACUGAGCCAAGUGACGCGCUUUUUUCCAGAGACAUUUUUACAUAAAUAGAAAAGUAAAUAUUUACUGCUUCAUAGUCAAUGCUGGUGCGCAACCUGUUCAUGAAAAAAAAAUCUGACAGGCUGCCAUUGCUGAGGAUGAUCUCAACUGAUAAUCUCAACUAAAGUACAACUGUUAGCUUUCUCUCAGAGGCAGAUAUUCACAGGCUUCUUUUUUUUUAAAGGAUCAGUUUUGCCGAACAGAUGAACAUUUCAACUGUAUGUGAAGCACUACAAACACUGAAAACAUGAAUUACCUGGAGAUGAAUGAGAAUAUGCGAAAUCUCUUGCCCACCCUCCUCUCUCUCUCUCUCUCUCUCUCUCUCUCUCUCUAUCCCUCUCUCCCUCUCUCUCAUGCUUGAGGGAAGCCAAUUUCCAAGGUUGAAGCAAGUGGCACAAUGCAGUAAAUAUCAGAAUCUCAAUGUAUGAGGAUUUGAGCAUAAUUUCCUAUCUGAAAUCCAUUAGCCACUCUCUCUCUCUUAAAUUAAUCUGUCCC